GGCAAGGUGGCCGAGUGGUUAAGGUUCGUGGACUUCAUGUCCUCUCCCCUGCUCACAUCUUACUAACCCAAUGUAGGCGAUGGCCUGCUAUCUGAGUAUAUCAGCCAUUGGGUUCGCCCGCGCGUGUUCGAAUCACGUCCUUGUCG
rnacentral:tRNA from 1 species